rnacentral:rRNA from 1 species
UACAGAGGGUGCAAGCGUUGUUCGGAAUUACUGGGCGUAAAGGGCGCGUAGGCGGGAUGGCAAGUCGGUCGUGAAAUCCCUCGGCUCAACCGAGGAACGUCGAUCGAUACUGCUGUUCUUGAGGAUUGCAGAGGAGACUGGAAUUCCCGGUGUAGCGGUGAAAUGUGUAGAGAUCGGGAGGAACACCGGUGGCGAAGGCGGGUCUCUGGGCAAUUCCUGACGCUGAGGCGCGAAAGCGUGGGGAGCAAACGGG